UAGCCACCCACGCAUAUUUUCUUUCUACAGCAUUUUCUUAUUCUUUGCUUGAUUCUCUAUCAAACUCGUUGAAGAACUAAAUUUUGACAUCUCAAUACAUUUCUCAUGGAUUAAGAAAGAGAAGUUGGCCAUAAUCUUAGAGUUUCAAGUUUUGGAUAAUGGAGACUGAUUGAUAGCUAUGGAAUUUGAAUUCAAGAACAAGGUGAUGCUUCAAAGAGAGAGAAGGCGAUGAGGUGGAUUGAUUGGAGACUUUGAUAGUUCGAUUGAAGUUUUUAAGUUUAAAAAGUUACGAAAAAUUCGUAACCAAGAAACCCAGGUUAACGGGCUUGCUAUGUAACUUGCUGAGUUUCAAGGUUGGAGAAGCUUGACUGAUACGGCCAUGUCAGGAAACACGAGUUGGCUGCAUAAUAAUAUGUCCCUUGCCAUGAAUCUUUAUGUUUUUGCCUUCUAAAUGAUUCCUACACCUCCAAGAUGUAUACCUAAUGGAUCUUUGAUGUAAUUCUUAAAACCUCUUGAAAAAGAGUUUAAAUCGCUUAAGAAACAUGACUUUUAAUUCAA